rnacentral:sRNA from 1 species
UCUUUAGCCCCUUUCAAGCAUUACUUGAGACAACGCCCCAGGAUGGGAACAUAGCAAGGCACCUCUUUUAGUGUUGUGAUUGGGUACCUGGAGAAGA